rnacentral:rRNA from 1 species
UGGGGAAUAUUGCACAAUGGGCGAAAGCCUGAUGCAGCAACGCCGCGUGAGGGACGACGGCCUUCGGGUUGUAAACCUCUUUUAGCAAGGAAGAAGCGAAAGUGACGGUACUUGCAGAAAAAGCGACCGGCUAACUACGUGCCAGCAGCCGCGGUAAUACGUAGGGCGCAAGCGUUAUCCGGAAUUAUUGGGCGUAAAGAGCUCGUAGGCGGUUUGUCGCGUCUGCUGUGAAAACCCGAGGCUCAACCUCGGGCCUGCAGUGGGUACGGGCAGACUAGAGUGCGGUAGGGGAGAUUGGAACUCCUGGUGUAGCGGUGGAAUGCGCAGAUAUCAGGAAGAACACCGAUGGCGAAGGCAGAUCUCUGGGCCGUAACUGACGCUGAGGAGCGAAAGGGUGGGGAGCAAACAGGCUUAGAUACCCUGGUAGUCCACCCGUAAACGUUGGGAACUAGUUGUGGGUCCAUUCCACGGAUUCCGUGACGCAGCUAACGCAUUAAGUUCCCCGCCUGGGGAGUACGGCCGCAAGGCU